rnacentral:rRNA from 1 species
UACGUAGGGUGCGAGCGUUGUCCGGAAUUAUUGGGCGUAAAGAGCUUGUAGGCGGUUUGUCGCGUCUGCCGUGAAAAUUCGAGGCUCAACCUCGAACUUGCGGUGGGUACGGGCAGACUAGAGUGCGGUAGGGGAGACUGGAAUUCCUGGUGUAGCGGUGAAAUGCGCAGAUAUCGGGAGGAACACCGGUGGCGAAGGCGGUUCUCUGGGCCUUACCUGACGCUGAGGAGCGAAAGCGUGGGGAGCGAACAGG